CGCUCAUCUCACCUUCUGCUGUGUGGCCUGGUUUCUAACAGGCUGGUUGGUGGCCUGGGGAUUGGGGACUCCUGGUUUAAACCACUUCAGAAAUCGCAGAUCGGCCCUGCUGCUUUUAACAAUUUUCAGAAGUCUCAACAAUUAAAAGAAAAUUAGAAGCCAAGUGCAGUGGCUCACACCUGUAAUUCCAGAACUUUGGGAGGCCAAGGUGAGAGGAUCACGUGAGUGCAACAGUGUGAAGUCAGCCUGGGCAAAAUAGUCCUGCAUACCACUGAAACUACUGAUGUCAGCUUUCUGAAGGACCCCACUGAGAAGACUCACUAAAGAAAGCAGUUUCCAUGUCCUGAUGAUUUUGUCUCCCUUACCCUGACCAAUCAAUGGCCCUAAUUUUUGGUCAUUUCAUUUUCUUGCCCUCCAUGAUACCCUUAAAGACCCUGCCCAGACCUCGUUGGGGAAAUGGAUUUGAGGGUCUCCCCCCACCUCUUUGCUGGGAAGCUUAUGAUCAUUAAACUAUUUCUCUGCUGCAAGCCCUGUUGUGUCAGUGCAAUUGGCCUGUUACUGCACAGUGGGCAUGUAAGCCUCUUGGUCCUGUAACAAUAUUAUGAUUUGAAAGAGCAAAAUUCAAUCCAGGCUUGAAGGAAGAAAAAUUGGCUCAAACUGAAAAAAGAAAAGGCAACCCUUCCCUUAAUGAGGAUCGAGAGACAGAGAUAAAAUCAACUGCAAAAGUAAGAAGAAACACUGUUUCUCCUUAGUUAAUGCACCAGUUGUAAAAUGCUUUGGCAACCACUCAUUGAGUGACUACUCCUUGCUAUUUUCAUUUUAUUAUU
rnacentral:lncRNA from 1 species